rnacentral:rRNA from 1 species
UACAGAGGGGGCAAGCGUUGUUCGGAAUUACUGGGCGUAAAGGGCGCGUAGGCGGCCUUCUAAGUCGAACGUGAAAUCCCCGGGCUCAACCCGGGAACUGCGUCCGAGACUGAAAGGCUUGAAUCCGGGAGAGGGAUGUGGAAUUCCAGGUGUAGCGGUGAAAUGCGUAGAUAUCUGCAGGAACACCCGUGGCGAGAGCGGCGCGCUGGACCACUACUGACGCUGAGGAACGAAAGCUAGGGGAGCAAACAGGGAUUAGAAACCCCCUGG